CCUACGGGAGGCAGCAGUGGGGAAUAUUGCACAAUGGGGGAAACCCUGAUGCAGCGACGCCGCGUGAGUGAAGAAGUAUUUCGGUACGUAAAGCUCUAUCAGCAGGGAAGAAAAUGACGGUACCUGACUAAGAAGCCCCGGCUAACUACGUGCCAGCAGCCGCGGUAAUACGUAGGGGGCAAGCGUUAUCCGGAUUUACUGGGUGUAAAGGGAGCGUAGACGGCAGCGCAAGUCUGUAGUGAAAUCCCAUGGCUUAACCAUGGAACUGCUUUGGAAACUGUGCAGCUAGAGUGCAGGAGAGGUAAGCGGAAUGCGUAGUGUAGCGGUGAAAUGCGUAGAUAUUAGGAGGAACACCAGUGGCGAAGGCGGCUUACUGGACUGUAACUGACGUUGAGGCUCGAAAGCGUGGGGAGCAAACAGGAUUAGAUACCCGAGUAGUC
rnacentral:rRNA from 1 species